GGGCGAUUAACUCAGCGGUAGAGUGUCAGCCUUACAAGCUGAAAGCCGAGGGUUCGAGCCCCCCAUCGCCCACCA
rnacentral:tRNA from 1 species